CGCUUGGCAGGUUUGACUCCUCUUUUGAGCCGAUUUGUGAUAUGUUUCCUCUAGUCGCUCAAACCUGCAAUCAAACGCACCUUGUAAGCAAUUUAGGACUAAUUUAAAGCACUUUAUGCACAAAGCUCAGGUAAAUAGGGGUAUAAAAAUGUAUAAUUCACAGUUAUCAUUGACGUCAUACAAAAGAAAGGUACCUAGUUUCGGCGUUCUGACAGUUAUGAGUGUUGACUCCUACCUGUCACAUCACGGCUUUUGGACAAAAUCAAACUCUACCUGCACGAAGGCACUGAUUCCAUCCAUCGAGGACGCACCUCGCUGCGACCCCGACGAACGGAGGGACAAACUGUAUGGGGUCGAAUUUGAUCAACCACGUCCCUAGACCAGCCUGACCGACCGCCGAACAUGUACAAGCCAAGGUAGAAGCACGAUUCAAGGGUAGCGGGAGGAACGACUCCAUAAUCUCGUCGGCCCCUCUAUAGCGUGUAUUUGAUUUCUAUUCUUUAAUAUUUCAAGGGGUAUCCCUGUCACACCUCCUUUUUCGCUAUACACCCCGCAAAGGGGUGUAAAUGAGUUUCCCACUUAAAGGACAAUCGAAACGGGAUAUAUUUAUUAAGACUUCAGAGUCGCCACUUGGGAGAUUAGUGGUGUCCCAAGUCACCGGUUGAAUCCCGAACCGAGAAAAAAGAUGACUCUGCUAACAGUCCGCGAACCAGAAAUUCGGAUAAGUAAUUCUGUUAACCCGGGAGAAAGUGUUAUGCAUUCCCGAGUUCCGUGGUUCUAGCACGGUCGGUCAACUGUUGCAUUUAGCUUUUAACUGAUUUUAUUACAUGAAGAUCCUAUGUUCCAAUUUUAUGCUUAACCGCUUUUAUUUAAUAUAAUAUUUAUUUAAGAGAAAGUGAACGUCGUUUAAAGUGUGUUUAGGAUUGCGCUGCAUCAAAUGAACCCUCAAUCCUAGGCACACUCUAUUCAAUGUUUUAGGAUUUGAAUUUGGCCCGCAUAAAAUGGACCCAUAUUUAGGAAGGUAAAAUGAUUAAAAUACGCGCCUAAAAGAGUGUAGCGCGUUAUUAUCUUUUGGGAGGGUCUUAAAAUUCACUAAACGGCCUUUCCCGAUUCUCUAAGUAUUUUUAAACCUUUACUGAGGGCCCACCAAUUUGUUUUUUUGUUGGGUGAGGCUCAUCUCAUUUUUAUUUUAAAGGCAAGCAUAAAGCAACUAUAUUUUUUAUUUUUCAUUUUGUCUCUAAAAGAAAAAAAAGAUCCUAAUUGGUUAGCUUUAGAAUUCGGGCUUCAAGUUCAAGUCCGAGCCCAAACAAAAGGAUAGACCUUUUAGCUUGAACCCGCUACGUAACUCAAAACCCAAACUUAUUAUUCAAAAGAUUUACGAGCUAGUAGCUAUUCAUCCAAGGCCCGAUGAGGCCAAACCAAACGACGCCUGCCAAUAGAACGUCUUCCCAGUAACGUCUAGCCCACAUCUAACUGCCGUAUACAUGUUAUGGAACUUGGGCCUUCAAUUCACAUAAUAAGGCCCAACAACUCUUGGGGAAUCUGACAUCCCACGCAGAAGGCAACGAUUAUUGGACUGGGCUACCAGCAAAUGCAAAAUACUAAGAGACUGGGUUCGAAUCUCAACCAACAUGCCAACACAUUUAGAUAAUGGAAGCAUAAGGUUUGCAGUAGCAAGGACGAACUCUCAAAAGACUUGCAUAAUUUAGUUUCAAUAUAAAAAUUCAACUGGAAAAGAAAUCAUUUUGUGAUAUGAAACAUUCACACAAUUUCGUUGUUCACAUGAAUAUUAUGUUAGCUCAUUCAUUCUAAAAGAACACAUGUCUCUGACUAAAAUUCAAACGAAAAUAGUCUUUCACAUGCAUAUAAAAUUAAAAAAAACUAACGUAAUCUUCUUUUUUUUUUUUGGGUAAUUAAGGCUUUCAUUAAUCACUAAUGAAGUAACAUUACAAAACCAUAGUCUAGCUUUAACUCAGCUGACUAUCUCUAAUAUAACANNNNNNNNNNNNNNNNNNNNNNNNNNNNNNNNNNNNNNNNNNNNNNNNNNNNNNNNNNNNNNNNNCUGGGGAGGGUAGUAUGUACUCAGACCUUACCCCUCCCCUGGAAUAUAUAUUUGAAGAUGUUGUAAAUGGUUUCUAAUUCGCGGGGUACCUCUAACAUUACAAGUGUAUACUAUGUCUGUCAAAAGGGCUUCAUUGCAACAAAAUGUCUUGUUGAAGAUUCUUGAAUUCCUUUACAGCCAGAUAGUAUAUGCAAACUCAGCGACUACCAUUUUGAAGAUGACUGCUCGGCAUGUUCGACCCUUGGCUUUGCUUACAAGCCACUGCAUUUUCUGGUUCUAGGCAGUGAUGUGAGGAUAAGUCUCCUUCAGCCAGUGCAUUGUUUUCUCCCAUAAUUCAACUGUGACUGGGCAGAAUAGUAGGCAGUGAUGUGAGGAUAAGGCUCCUUCAGCCAGUGCAUUGUUUUCUCCCAUAAUUCAACUGUGACUGGGCAGAAUAGUAGCAAAUGGUCCCUGGUCUCUGGAUGGUUUUGGCAUAACUUACAUUGUAACGUAAUCUUCUUUGAUCAAUCACAAUGGAAAGAAUCAUUCCUUUACUAACGUGAAGUAAAAAAAAUAUGCUAGGAAUUUCAUUUUUGGUACUCAAACCAUUCAAAUCAGUAAUAAAUCCUAGUAUAGUAAAAAUUCUACCAUACUCAUCUCUCCAGAUUCAGACUAAAACAACAUUAGCAAUAUAAAAGGAAUAAUAGCCAAAAUAAAUUUCUAUUUAGGGGACAAAGCCAACUUCCAAGUUUAAAGGCACAGUCAGUUGAUGGCAUAAUACCAAACAAUGAUAAGAACUGUUAAAUCCCACGGAGAAACAAAUAAUUAUCAUUGCCUUAGCAUUAUAAGCAUGUUCUCAUUGAAUCAAAAGGAGAAUUACAUGUCCGGGAAAAGAAAAACGGUACCUUGUAGCAGUAAUAAGUCCUUAAACAGGAUAAUCACAUUUUAAUAUGGUGAUAGCACCAUUAAAUCCAGAAGGAAAAGAACAACAUUACCUUAGUAGCAGUAAUAAGUGCUUAAAAUCGCCAAUUCAUGGGUGAUAAACGCUACAAAUUGGAGCUCAGCGAAAUAACACUUGAACAUCAACUCGCAGUACAUCGAGAGUUAGCAGUCAACAGCAGCUCAGCGAAGCAGGAUCCCAGCACUUUUACACAAACAGAUAUCCAGAUAUUCCGAGAAAUGAGUGUGAAAAUCAGUAGUAACCAUCUUGAGCAAUUUAAAUUCCUAUCCCAUUUUAUGUAGAACCUUCAGUGCAUGUGUGCAUUAAUGAAAUUAGAGAGGAAGGAGGGGGGGAAGGACUGUGUGAUUUUUCUCUAGCUUAGGUCUGUGUGUAUUUUUGACAAGAAGCAAAAGAUGAGCAGCAAGGUCAAAAAUUAGGAGACGUUUUCAACGCCAUUUUUGCUCUUCAGAGAUCUCCGAUCUAGGGAUUUUUUUGGGUCUUUUUGAUCUGAUCUCUGUGUGUGGGUGUGAAGGAGUCAAGAAGGAGAAUCAGCGCUUGGGAAUGGGACAUGCUAUAUGCGUGUCUCUAAGGGGGAAAGGGUUUGUACAGGUCGGGUCAGCGGGUUGGAUUGGGUUUGUGGGCUGUUGGGGCCCCGAUGUUGGGUAGAGUGACUUGGCUUAGGAUUUUAUAUUAGAAUUGGCCCAAGUGUAUUGACUUAAUAAGACCUCUUUUAUUUCCAUUGUUUUUCUUUUCCUUCUUUUAUCUAAUUUUGUUUUUGU
rnacentral:lncRNA from 1 species